rnacentral:lncRNA from 1 species
CAUCUGUAACCAAGUGGCUGCUGGCUCAGUCCCUACGCCUUGUUACGGGGUCAUAAUUUUAUGCGAAAAAUCAUUAGAAAAACGUUUACACCAAUGACAGGAACUAGUUGUUGCAGUUAUCAAAGAUCAAACAGAUUCACUUUUGAUUAUCAUUUAAUUCCAAGUCCAAGAAAUAAACAUAGGACAAUGUCAAUAUCAAAUGUAUGACUUAUUACUGUAACUAUCUCGACUCUCUGUUCUUUCUCCUUAUCCACACUAUUUCUAUUCUCUACUUUCUCUACUCUACUACUGUUUUACAUUUAUUUUCACACAAUAUUUAUACUAUUAAUCAGACAAUACUUCAUUUGUAACAAUACUCAAAUUAAUAUGAC